AGAGUUUGAUCAUGGCUCAGGAUGAACGCUUGCGGCGUGCUUAACACAUGCAAGUCGAGCGGUAUAUGGUGGAAUGAAACUUCGGUCGAGUGAAGCCAUAGAGAGCGGCGGACGGGUGCGUAACACGUAUGCAACCUACCCCAUACAGACGGAUAGCCUCGGGAAAUCUGAAUUAAUACGUCAUAACGCGAGGAGUUCGCAUGGGAAUAUCGCUAAAGAGCAAUCGGUAUGGGAUGGGCAUGCGCCCCAUUAGAUAGUUGGGGUGGUAACGGCACACCAAGUCGAUGAUGGGUAGGGGGCCUGAGAGGGUAAUCCCCCACACUGGUACUGAGACACGGACCAGACUCCUACGGGAGGCAGCAGUGAGGAAUAUUGGUCAAUGGACGGAAGUCUGAACCAGCCAUGCCGCGUGAGCGAAGAAGUCCUAUGGAUUGUAAAGCUCUUUUGUUGGGAAAGAAACAAAUGAAGGUACCCUUGGAAUAAGGAUCGGCUAACUCCGUGCCAGCAGCCGCGGUAAUACGGAGGAUCCGAGCGUUAUCCGGAUUUAUUGGGUUUAAAGGGUGCGUAGGCGGCCAUGUAAGCGCGUGGUGAAAUUCCAUAGCUUAACUAUGGUAUGCCUUGCGAACUGUGUGGCUUGAGUACAGGAGUGGAAAGCGGAAUUCCUAGUGUAGCGGUGAAAUGCGUAGAUAUUAGUAGGAACACCAGUCGCGAAGGCGACUCACUAAACUGUAACUGACGCUGAAGCACGAAAGCGUGGGGAUCAAACAGGAUUAGAUACCCUGGUAGUCCACGCCGUAAACGAUGAGCACUAGGUGUCGGGGUUUAAAGACUUCGGUGCCGCAGUUAACGCAUUAAGUGCUCCGCCUGGGGAGUACGUACGCAAGUAUAAAACUCAAAGGAAUUGACGGGGACCCGCACAAGCAGCGGAGCAUGUGGUUUAAUUCGAAGCAACGCGAAGAACCUUACCAGGGCUUGACAUCCCUCUGACAGACCCUUAAUCGGGACCUCCUUCGGACAGAGGAGACAGGUGGUGCAUGGUUGUCGUCAGCUCGUGUCGUGAGAUGUUGGGUUAAGUCCCGCAACGAGCGCAACCCUUGUCAUUAGUUGCCAUCAUUAAGUUGGGCACUCUAGAGAGACCGCCGGGGAUAACUCGGAGGAAGGUGGGGAUGACGUCAAAUCAUCAUGCCCCUUAUGUCCUGGGCUACACACGUGCUACAAUGGCUGGUACAACGAGAAGCAAGUCCGCGAGGCGGAGCGAAUCUUUCAAACCAGUCCCAGUUCGGAUUGCAGGCUGAAACCCGCCUGCAUGAAGUCGGAGUUGCUAGUAAUCGCAGAUCAGCAUGCUGCGGUGAAUGCGUUCCCGGGUCUUGUACACACCGCCCGUCACACCAUGGAAGUUGGGGGCGCCCGAAGUUGGUCGGUAAAUAGAUACCUAAGGCGAAAUCAAUGACUGGGGUGAAGUCGUAACAAGGUAACCA
rnacentral:rRNA from 1 species